GGUUCCAUAGUGUAGCGGUUAUCACGUCUGCUUUACAAACAGAAGGUCCUGGGUUUGAGUCCCAGUGGAGCUA